AUGCAGUCAAGCACCGCCGGAUCUGUGCACGCGGGACUUUCUGAACUAACAGUGCACAGCGACCUGAACUUCUAUUUGUUGAGAAAUCAUUUUCUAAACUUUUUAGUAAUCAGUAGCACAAAUCCAUGGUAUUUUGGACCAAGCAGCACAUGUCUUCAGUUAGUUUAUCUUAACUUUUCUAAAUACAACGAGCCAAGAGCAGGCCAACGGACGACCGGUCGCUCCCUGCUGUCACAACGGGGAGGGAAGUACGCUGCCGCGAGUGGUAGCCGACGGCGCAAAAGGGAAGCUUGGCACUGGAAGGGCAGGUCGAUGCGGUGCGCUGGAAGCUCCAUGCGUUGGCAGUGCAUUGGUGAGGGAGAGCGGAGGUGUGUGGAGAGCCAGGCACAACGUGGCCGCUCCAUGGAUGAUGGAUGA
rnacentral:rRNA from 1 species